rnacentral:rRNA from 1 species
UACGAAGGGGGCUAGCGUUGUUCGGAAUUACUGGGCGUAAAGCGCGCGCAGGCGGUUUUCCAAGUCAGUGGUGAAAGCCCGGAGCUCAACUCCGGAACUGCCAUUGAAACUGUUGAACUUGAGGACGAGAGAGGUGAGUGGAAUUCCCAGUGUAGAGGUGAAAUUCGUAGAUAUUGGGAAGAACACCGGUGGCGAAGGCGGCGACCUGGUCCUUGACUGACGCUGAGGCGCGAAAGCGUGGGGAGCAAACAGG